GACGAACGCUGGCGGCGUGCCUAAUACAUGCAAGUCGAGCGAAGUUUUUCUGGUGCUUGCACUAGAAAAACUUAGCGGCGAACGGGUGAGUAACACGUAAAGAACCUGCCUCAUAGACUGGGACAACUAUUGGAAACGAUAGCUAAUACCGGAUAACAGUAUUUCUCGCAUGAGAGAUAUUUAAAAGUUGGUUAUGCUAACACUAUGAGAUGGCUUUGCGGUGCAUUAGCUAGUUGGUGGGGUAAAGGCCCACCAAGGCGACGAUGCAUAGCCGACCUGAGAGGGUGAUCGGCCACACUGGGACUGAGACACGGCCCAGACUCCUACGGGAGGCAGCAGUAGGGAAUCUUCCGCAAUGGGCGAAAGCCUGACGGAGCAACGCCGCGUGAGUGAAGAAGGAUUUCGGUUCGUAAAGCUCUGUUGUCAGGGAAGAAUGGAUAUGUAGUAACUAUACAUGUAAGAGACGGUACCUAACCAGAAAGCCACGGCUAACUACGUG
rnacentral:rRNA from 1 species